GACGAACGCUGGCGGCGUGCUUAACACAUGCAAGUCGAACGGAAAGGCCCCUUCGGGGGUACUCGAGUGGCGAACAGGUGAGUAACACGUGAGUAACCUGCCCUUGACUUCGGGAUAACUUCAGGAAACUGGGGCUAAUACCGGAUAGGAAUCCUUGCUGCAUGGUGGGGGUUGGAAAGCUACGGCGGUUUUGGAUGGACUCGCGGCUUAUCAGCUUGUUGGUGGGGUAGUGGCUUACCAAGGCUUUGACGGGUAGCCGGCCUGAGAGGGCGACCGGCCACAUUGGGACUGAGAUACGGCCCAGACUCCUACGGGAGGCAGCAGUGGGGAAUAUUGCACAAUGGGCGGAAGCCUGAUGCAGCAACGCCGCGUGCGGGAUGACGGCCUUCGGGUUGUAAACCGCGUUCAGCAGGGGCGAAGCUUGUGGUGACGGUACCUGCAGAAGAAGCACCGGCUAACUACGUG
rnacentral:rRNA from 1 species